rnacentral:lncRNA from 1 species
CGGGAGGCCCAUGGGCACCCGGAAUCUGGAAAGAAUCAGGAGGGGACAGUGGAGUCAUGAUGAAGUGGCUGGUUUGCAGCUGUGAAAAUCAUGCCUGGAGAGACUGACGGAGUGAGAUUCCUCUGUCUGUGGUUCAAAGGAGAUGGCUGUGGGACGGAAGCCUGCAGGAAGCAUAGAUGUUUGAAAGGACGAAUCACACAUGGCCUUGUCCUGGAGCCCGGCCAGGACCACUUCCUCAAAGGGAGGCAACCACGAUCCACCCAGUUGCAGUCCCCCUUGCUUCUCAAAAGAAGUGCACCUCUUCUUCCUUUUAGUUUCUGCUUUGCUGUUUGAGAAGUGGCUAGAUAUGCUUCUCAAGGAGCAGGUCAGGAACCCACAGCCUGGGGUGCAGAGCCCACCCACCUGCCCGCCCCACAACCAGAAGCACCUG